GGGCAUCUUGCUCCUCCUGAGCUUUGAUGGCAUAGGCCCUGGCAGGUAUUCUAGUGUCUGGCCUCUCAGUUGACUCAGAUGCAGGCCUCAGUGAUGGACCAGCUGCCUCAGGUUUACCGGGCUUCCUACCCCUUUGUGGUGUAGGGGCAGGUCUGUCAGUUUGUGUUGGAGCAACUGUAGUAGUCCUCUUCGGACAAUUCUUGAUCUGAUGUUCUGUUGAUCCACACCGUAAGCAUGCACCAGUCACUCGCCAACAUUCCCCCUUAUGCCACUUCUGACAAUACUGACAAGCAGAAGAUGUAGGGGCUGAUCCCUUAAACACGGUCCCUGGAGAGCUGCCCAUUGAUGGUGUGGACUGGCCUCUCCU
rnacentral:misc_RNA from 1 species